CGGGGUCUAAACUGGUUUCGACGAGCAACAUCUGGCCAAAAAUUCGCUCAGUAGAACACUAAUAUACCAUCAUCCGUAAAAUUGACGUAACUUGCACAACUGCAGAUAGAAAUAACAGUUAUGUUUGGUCAAAAUUUUCCAUUCCAGUACUGCAAAAUAUACAGCAAGCGAACAGACAAUUGUUUGACCUGCCUGAGGGAGGGAGGGGAAGGUAAUAUUUGUGCAGCAAUAUGUAAACAAAGCGCGCGCGCGGGAAUUUGCACUUGAUCAUCAGCAAGCAAGGACGGCAAGUCUCAAGAAAUAAUAUGCUUUUUCUCUGUUUCGUCUGGUCGUAUGAGCUUACGUAAAGUCGGUUGAAAUGGCGCAUUUUAACACGACAUUCCACACAGCGAGUGGCGCACUUGCUAAUGGUGGGAUACGUCACGAUCUGGGAGAAAUCUCAGUGCAACCAGCGAGACAGAGCGAGCGUAUACUUUCGAAGCUAGGUCGGCUUUCGAGGCCGAAUACGAUCGAGGAAUUCGUCGUAAAAGACGAAAAAUAAUUAAACAAGAAAGAGCGAGAGAGAUAUACAGGGGAUGUUUAAAAAAGAAAAAAGAUCUGAGAGGGAAAGAAAAAUGCAGGAGAGAUUUAUUUAUAUCGAGCACGAAAAUAGCAAGAAAAUAGAAACUAGUCGUUCGUGUACGUACACAAAGAGGGGAACGUGCUGUUGACUUCUGGCGACUGUGGAACAAAGAGAAAAUGUUACGCAGUACGAGCAACAUGUGAGUAAAAUAGCAUAAAUUUAUACAUUCAAAACUAGUCAAAACUGUACUUCUCGUAAUACCAUCCGCAUAUUUUAAAGACUGUGUCCUAUAAAUACGUGCAAAGUAUCGUAAAGUUCCUGAAACCCGAAGCUAUUGUAUAUUAUAUAUUUCGAAUUUCCCAAUUUAAUACCCACACUGAAACAAUUAUAAGAGGGUCUAAAUGGGGUUAACUGACAACUGACAAACGGCCUUAAAAAUAACUGUUAACUGACAAAUAACGAUUUUUUUAACUGUUUACUGACAAGUAAAACUUUACUGUUAACUGACAAUUGAAGUUUGAUUGGACUUUUUUCCAUACUUCGGUGACUCUUUGAUCAGGAGCAAAUUAGAAAUCCGAAUAAAAGAUCGAAUUAAUCGCCAUAAAACACAUAAAAUUCGUGAAAGUCAGAAAAACGACUAAUUACCCAAACAGAAUUUGGCAAGUUAAUUAUUAACUGUGUUUAACUGACACGCCAAAAUAUUAACUGAUAGCUGACAAACAAGCUAAAUUUUAACUGACAACUGACAUGCACAACCCCCCAUUCAGACCCUCUUAUAACAUGUAAUACUACAGAUAUACUCGAUAAAUGUAUAGUGUUCUAUACUGAAUUCUACAGAUCCGCAGACGUAGGUAAACAAUAAUUGCAUGUCUAGUGACUA